GGAGCGGUAGUUCAGUUGGUUAGAAUGUCUGCCUGUCACGCAGAAGGUCGCGAGUUCGAGUCUCGUCCGUUCCGCAA
rnacentral:tRNA from 3 species